UACGUAGGGGGCUAGCGUUGUCCGGAAUCAUUGGGCGUAAAGCGCGUGUAGGCGGUCCGGUAAGUCCGCUGUGAAAGUCGGGGGCUCAACCCUCGAAUGCCGGUGGAUACUGUCGGGCUAGAGUGCGGAAGAGGCGAGUGGAAUUCCUGGUGUAGCGGUGAAAUGCGCAGAUAUCAGGAGGAACACCAAUUGCGAAGGCAGCUCGCUGGGACGUAACUGACGCUGAGACGACGAAAGCGUGGGGAGCAAACAGG
rnacentral:rRNA from 1 species